rnacentral:ncRNA from 1 species
AUACCUUUGUGUCGCUUUGGUGAGCGUAGCAGUAACCACUGUUGCGUUGUAAUAGGGAAUCCGGUGAAAGUCCGGGACUGUCCCCUCAGCUGUAAGUUCGAAAAACAAGAAGCAGCAAUCUCACCGGCCACUUCCGCGCCCCGGGUGUUUUUAUCCCAGGCUCCGCUUCCAAGGAAGGAGGGAAGGCCGUUGCUAUCUCGAACAAGUCAGAAAACCUGCCAAGGCAAGCAGCUCUCA